rnacentral:lncRNA from 1 species
AGUCAGCUCUACUAUCUCUGUCUGGUCAGGCUAUAUGAGGAUAUAGUCAGCUCUACUAUCUCUGUCUGGUCAAGCUGUAUGAGGAUAUAGUCAGCUCUACUAUCUCUGUCUGGUCAGGCUAUAUGAGGAUAUAGUCAGCUCUACUAUCUCUGUCUGGUCAGGCUAUAUGAGGAUAUAGUCAGCUCUACUAUCUCUGUCUGGUCAGGCUAUAUGAGGUUAUAGUCAGCUCUACUAUCUCUGUCUGGUCAGGCUAUAUGAGGAUAUAGAAGACAGUAAUUAGCUAAUGUUGCAGAACCAACAGACAUAUGGUUGACUGUGGCAUCUUUAGCCAACCCCCCCGGGUAUUGUAGGUCAAUACACAUUAGUCUGAUGAGAGAGACAACCUAUGUGUCCCAAUCCGCACCCUUU